UGCUGGAGGUAUCAGAAGUGCGAAUGCUGACAUAAGUAACGAUAAAGCGGGUGAAAAGCCCGCUCGCCGGAAGACCAAGGGUUCCUGUCCAACGUUAAUCGGGGCAGGGUGAGUCGACCCCUAAGGCGAGGCCGAAAGGCGUAGUCGAUGGGAAACGGGUUAAUAUUCCCGUACUUGGUGUUACUGCGAAGGGGGGACGGAGAAGGCUAUGUUGGCCGGGCGACGGUUGUCCCGGUUUAAGCGUGUAGGUGUGUGUUCCAGGUAAAUCCGGUUCACUUUAACACUGAGGCGUGAUGACGAGGCACUACGGUGCUGAAGCAACAAAUGCCCUGCUUCCAGGAAAAGCCUCUAAGCAUCAGGUAACAUCAAAUCGUACCCCAAACCGACACAGGUGGUCAGGUAGAGAAUACCAAGGCGCUUGAGAGAACUCGGGUGAAGGAACUAGGCAAAAUGGUGCCGUAACUUCGGGAGAAGGCACGCUGACACGUAGGUGAAGUGAUUUACUCAUGGAGCUGAAGUCAGUCGAAGAUACCAGCUGGCUGCAACUGUUUAUUAAAAACACAGCACUGUGCAAACACGAAAGUGGACGUAUACGGUGUGACGCCUGCCCGGUGCCGGAAGGUUAAUUGAUGGGGUCAGCGCAAGCGAAGCUCCUGAUCGAAGCCCCGGUAAACGGCGGCCGUAACUAUAACGGUCCUAAGGUAGCGAAAUUCCUUGUCGGGUAAGUUCCGACCUGCACGAAUGGCGUAAUGAUGGCCAGGCUGUCUCCACCCGAGACUCAGUGAAAUUGAACUCGCUGUGAAGAUGCAGUGUACCCGCGGCAAGACGGAAAGACCCCGUGAACCUUUACUAUAGCUUGACACUGAACAUUGAGCCUUGAUGUGUAGGAUAGGUGGGAGGCUUUGAAGCGUGGACGCCAGUCUGCGUGGAGCCGACCUUGAAAUACCACCCUUUAAUGUUUGAUGUUCUAACGUGGACCCGUAAUCCGGGUUGCGGACAGUGUCUGGUGGGUAGUUUGACUGGGGCGGUCUCCUCCUAAAGAGUAACGGAGGAGCACGAAGGUUGGCUAAUCCUGGUCGGACAUCAGGAGGUUAGUGCAAUGGCAUAAGCCAGCUUGACUGCGAGCGUGACGGCGCGAGCAGGUGCGAAAGCAGGUCAUAGUGAUCCGGUGGUUCUGAAUGGAAGGGCCAUCGCUCAACGGAUAAAAGGUACUCCGGGGAUAACAGGCUGAUACCGCCCAAGAGUUCAUAUCGACGGCGGUGUUUGGCACCUCGAUGUCGGCUCAUCACAUCCUGGGGCUGAAGUAGGUCCCAAGGGUAUGGCUGUUCGCCAUUUAAAGUGGUACGCGAGCUGGGUUUAGAACGUCGUGAGACAGUUCGGUCCCUAUCUGCCGUGGGCGCUGGAGAACUGAGGGGGGCUGCUCCUAGUACGAGAGGACCGGAGUGGACGCAUCACUGGUGUUCGGGUUGUCAUGCCAAUGGCACUGCCCGGUAGCUAAAUGCGGAAGAGAUAAGUGCUGAAAGCAUCUAAGCACGAAACUUGCCCCGAGAUGAGUUCUCCCUGAGACUUAGAGUCUCCUGAAGGAACGUUGAAGACGACGACGUUGAUAGGCCGGGUGUGUAAGCGCAGCGAUGCGUUGAGCUAACCGGUACUAAUGAACCGUGAGGCUUAACCUU
rnacentral:rRNA from 1 species